CUUGUGCACCUACAGGCCUGCACCCUUGGGGCUAUGCACCUAUGGGCCUGCGCACUUGCGGACCUACUAGCCAUAGGCUUCUUCAUCUUGGGCCUCACUACCAUGGGCUUCGUGGCUGUGGGCUGACUUCAUGGUGUCAAAAAAAUCAACAUAUAAUCUAUUACUUCAAAACUACUUGCACAUCAAAAAUCAUAUAAUUUAGAAACUCGU
rnacentral:lncRNA from 1 species